UCGAGUUACAAAUAAGAGGUGUGUGAGCAAGGAAGAGCUGAAAAAGGAUUAGAAAAUGUUGGUCAGAGCGGCUCGUGCUAAAAAAAAGCAAAUUUGCGACAGAUCGCAAAAUUAGAGAUAGGCGCGCACAGACAAACCAUAAAAAGGACCAGAAAAGACUAGUCAAAGCAUCUCACGCUCGAAGAAGGCCUGGUCGCAAAAUCAGAGGCCGCCGUGCACAAAGGACCCAAAAAAAUAACUAGAAAAGACUAGUCGGAGUGGCUCGUGUACGAAGUAAACAGAUCUAUCUAGCAAGGCAGCGGCUCGACUCGGUUCGACUCGGCUCAAGCAUAGAUGGCUUGGCUCGACUCACGCAGCAGCUCAAAUCGGAUCGGCUCAUGCUCGGUGCUCAAGCAAGGACGGACUAGAUCCGAGUGGUCCCGCGCGCAGAAUGGCGAGAGCUGGACGUCCCCGUGCGUAGAAGGCUAGAAUGACGCGGCGGAGAGCCCUGACCAGCAAAUACAGCGCGGCUCAAUGGGGGAUAGAGCAGGUCGUGGCGAGAGAAGAAGAUCUGUUCAACGCGACCAGAUCUGUAGUGCGCGGUACUCCGGUGGGGAGCGUGAACGGUUCUACGAGUGGAAGAAGGCCGGAUCUGACCGGAUUUGGCCAGAGAAGACGACCGGAGCGCAGCGGCUGGUCGCGGAAUUUUGCAAUUCCGGGCGUGCUUUUAACUCGUUCUCACCAGAUCCGUACCAGAUCUGAGCGUGCGCACGGUUCUGUGGUGAUUCCCGAUGAGUCUCGCGGUGGCAAGUGGUGGUCAAUGGCUGCUGCGGCAGCCGGCGGCGCGUGAUCACGCGCCUCUGCUGCUGGUGGUCGACGGAGUCGGAAAAAAGGCCUCCGGUUGGUCUACGGCACUGUCCGGGACGAUCAUGAUAGCAGAUUUGAAUUAAGUAAAUAUCAACUUAGCCUAUUUUUUAUUUUAAGAUUAUAAUUUUAUGGUUUCUUUCAAAUUCUAAAAUAAUUUUAUUCAACUCUAUUAUCAUCUUAAUAUUUUAGAUAAAAAAUAAUUUUAUUUUUUAUUUUUAUAUUAUUAUAUUUAAAAUAUUUAUAAAACUUUUAAUUAUAAAUAAAAAAAUUAUUAUUCUAAUAAAAUUUUAAUUAUAUAAAAUUAAUAUUUUAAUAUAAUUUUAAUUAAGUUAUUUUAACUAAUUAAAUAAUAAAUAAAAAUAAUAAAAUAUACUACUUAACAUUUUUUUAUGUUAUAAUUCAUAAAUUUCAUGACACAUGACGUCAGAGAGAAUUUUAUUCUCUAUAAAAUAACACAAGAACUUUUGCAUGUUGCACGUGAGACCUACUCAAAUAAGGAAGAUAGAGUGAAGGUGUUUGAAAUUGAAGUCCCUCCAUACCCUCUAUUAGAAGAACCUCUUAGUCACCCAAUAUUUAAGUCGUCUGUGCAAGUAUUUAUGGCAAUUAGAUGCGUAGGAAAUUACUCAAUAGGAUUGCCUAAUGCAGCUAAGUAGAAGAAGAUCAUUGAGAAGAAAUAGAUCUAUAAGUUUUGUUGAGACUCAAUAAAAACUUUGAUAAAAUUCAUGGUCGAAUCCUAACAAUCAAAUCUCUAUCUAAUCUUCAAGAGGUAGGAGUUAGAGUCCAAAAAAAAAGUUGAAAAAGGUAAUGAUGUGUCCUAAGAAUCAGUCCAUCAAUAACGACGAUAUUUUUUUCCUUGCAUCACAAAGAACUGAGGAUAAAGAGACUAAAAAAAAAAGACCAUGGUGCAAGCAUUGCAAGAAGUUCGAAUACUCUUAUGACACCUGCUGUGACAUUCAUAGAAAAUUCCAUUAUUAGAAGCCAAAAAGCAAAAGGCAUGGACGUGCAAAUCAUACUACAACCAUGGAACAACUGAAUCAAUUCAACAAGGAGCAAUUGGAAAUCUUUCAAAAGUUAAUUAUUAAUGCGCAACCAAUUUCUUUUACUCCAAAUUCCAAUCUCUUGACAAUAACAAACGUGGCACAUGAAGAUAUUUUUUCAACAAUCCUCAAAACUUAUAGGAUGGACAAGAAAAAUUCAUAGAUAAUCAAUUCUAGAGCCUCUAAUUAUAUGACUGACGAUGUAUCUCUUAUCCAAAAUCUUACUAUUUAUCAUGAAAACUAUAAUGUCAAGAUAGUUGAUAAUCGGCUUCAAAAGUGACCAAUAAAGGAUCUGUAGCUCUCUUAGAAAACCUGAACCCCAACUAGUUCUAUUAGUUCCAAAUUUGGAUUGCAAUCUUCUGUCAAUUAAUCAACUUAUAAGGGAAAUAAACUGUCUCUGUAUUCACCUUUAAUUUUGUAUCUAUCAGAAUUUGACUUCGGGACGAAUGAUUGGCAGUGAUGACUUGUAUUUGAGACUUUAUAUACCCAAUACAGUCAAACCUCAUGAGAAUUUUUCAACCAAAGGAAGAUAAUGUUUUUCUGCCCUCAAGAAUAAAGAUAGUGAAAUAAUGUUAUAGUACUACCAUUUAGGUUAUCUAUAUCUUAUACCUAAAGAAAUUUUUUAUGUUAUGUUCUUGAGAUUAAGGUUUCGUCAUUGGCAGUUCUCUGAAAUUUUUAGUUUUAGAAUAUGUUUCUUCUCCUUGUUGCGAUUCCUUGAGCGAUUAAUUUUGUGACAAUUUAUUACAGCUCAUCAGAGGGAGCUGUUACUUUGGAUCGAGAGA
rnacentral:lncRNA from 1 species